ensembl:miRNA MIR335 microRNA 335
UCAAGAGCAAUAACGAAAAAUGUUUGUCAUAAACCGUUUUUCAUUAUUGCUCCUGACC